UACGGGGGGAGCAAGCGUUGUUCGGAUUUACUGGGCGUAAAGGGCGCGUAGGCGGCCACCGCAAGUCAGUUGUGAAAGCUCUGGGCUUAACCCAGAAAGGUCAACUGAUACUGCGGGGCUAGAGUGCAGAAGGGGCAACUGGAAUUCUCGGUGUAGCGGUGAAAUGCGUAGAGAUCGGGAGGAAUACCGGUGGCGAAAGCGACUCUCUGGACGGCAACUGACGCUGAGGCACGAAAGCGUGGGGAGCAAACAGG
rnacentral:rRNA from 1 species